UGGGGAAUUUUGGACAAUGGGCGAAAGCCUGAUCCAGCAAUGCCGCGUGUGUGAAGAAGGCCUUCGGGUUGUAAAGCACUUUUGUCCGGAAAGAAAUCCUUGGCUCUAAUACAGUCGGGGGAUGACGGUACCGGAAGAAUAAGCACCGGCUAACUACGUGCCAGCAGCCGCGGUAAUACGUAGGGUGCAAGCGUUAAUCGGAAUUACUGGGCGUAAAGCGUGCGCAGGCGGUUUGCUAAGACCGAUGUGAAAUCCCCGGGCUCAACCUGGGAACUGCAUUGGUGACUGGCAGGCUAGAGUAUGGCAGAGGGGGGUAGAAUUCCACGUGUAGCAGUGAAAUGCGUAGAGAUGCGGAGGAAUACCGAUGGCGAAGGCAGCCCCUGGGCCAAUACUGACGCUCAUGCACGAAAAGCGUGGGGAGCAAACAGGAUUAGAUACCCUGGUAGUCCACGCCCUAAACGAUGUCAACUAGUUGUUGGGGAUUCAUUUCCUUAGUAACGUAGCUAACGCGUGAAGUUGACCGCCUGGGGAGUACGGUCGCAAGAUUAAAACUCAAAGGAAUUGACGGGGUCAUAGCUGUUUCCU
rnacentral:rRNA from 1 species